GCGGGUGUAGCUCAGUUGGUUAGAGCGUCAGUUUUCCAAACUGAAUACAGGGGUCCGAUUCCCCUUACCCGCUCCA
rnacentral:tRNA from 1 species